CUAUUUAACCAUUUAUGGAGUCUCUACCAUACAAGAAGUACUGUGGCUGAAGCAGAGAGGUGGAGCAAGAUGGUGGAAUAGAAGGCACCACCGAUCGUCUCCCCGACAAAGACACCAAUUUAACAACUGUCUACACAGGGAAAUCACUUGUGUAAGAACCAACUCUCAGGUUAGCCCUCAUAGUAACAGGUUUUAUCUUCAUAUCUCUGAAAGUGGCACCGAAGAGAUAGAAAAACAUCUUGAACAGCCAGUGCUACCCCUCCCCACUCCACAGCAGCAGCAUGGUUCAGACAGCAUUUCUCUCUGCAGGGAGAACAAGAACAUAGUAAUUCUGAGGCAUUGAACUCAGUGCUUCCCUGUUUAACUGGACCAAACUCAGCUGCCUACCCAUGAAGGGAGUAUUUAAACCAGCCCUAGCCAGAGGGGAAUCGCUGAUUCCCGCAGUCUGAACUUGAAUUCCCACAAACCUCACUCCCAAGGACUAAACUGCUCUGGGUCUCUAAGUAAACUGAAAAGGCAGUCUUGGCCAUGAGGACUGCAACUCUUAGGCAAGUCCUAGUGCUGAACUGGGCCCAGAGACAGUGGACCUGGGGUGUGGAAGGCACAUGACAUACUGAGACACCAGCUGGGGUGGCUAAGGGAGUGGCGUCACCCCUCCCCUACCCCGGGCUGCACGGCUUGUGGCUCCAAAAGAGACUCCUUCCUUCUGCUUGAGGAGAGGAGAAAGAGGAGUGAGGACUUUGUCUUGCAUCUUGGAUAUCAGCUCAGCAACAGGAUAGGGAACCAGUCGGAGUUGUGAGGCCCCCAUUUCAGAUCCUAGUUCCUAGAUAACAUUUCUAGACACACCCUAGCCCAGAAGAGAAUCUGCAGCCCGCCCAGAAGAGGAUCUGCAGCCCUGAAGGGAAGGACCCAGUCUUGGCAGCAUUUAUCAACUGCUAACUGAAGAGCCCUUGGGGGCUAAAUAACAAGCAGUGAUACCCAAGUUCUACGUCAAGUGUCUUGAGUGAGCCUCUGAGACUUGCUGGCUUCAGGUGAGACUCAGCGGUUUAUCAGCUUUGGUGGCUACAGGGUGAAACUCCUUCUGCUUGAGAAAAGCAGAGAGAAAAGUAAAGGGGAGUUUAUCUUGCACCUUAGGUACCAGCACAGCCACAGUGAGGGAGAGCACCAAGGAGGCUCCUGGGGACCUCGAUUCCAGGGCUUAACUUGGAUGGCAUCUCUGCACCUACCCUGGGCCAGAAGGAAGCCCGUUGCCCUGAAGGAUUCUUCACUGUGGGAGACUACGGCUUUUGAAGAGUCAGCCAACCAGCUUGAGAGUGAAUAUAAUCACCCAUUUUCUAAAAUGAAAGAGGAGACUUGGGACCAGCCUCCGCUGUGUGGUACCGAGCAAGAGCAGCUGCAGACAUGCAGAGCUGGUUUUCAACUCAGGCGAGGCAGUGUAUCAGCUGUGUAACCCUAGCAAUUCCUUCAACCCCUCUGCAGCUGUCUCUCCCCCUGCAAAAUGUAACAAUUGCUGCUGUGCCCCCUUACGGGAUGCUGAAAAAAGUUAAGUAAGAUCAAAUGAGUUUGUAUCUGGAAAACAUCAUGAUGGGAGGUUGAACUUGGUGGUAUAAGGGUAGAAAAUUGUGAUAUCUUUCCUUCCCAUAGAAGGCGGACAGCUAACACUCUUAAAGCACAAGACAGGUUAACAAAAGAAAAGCAUAACAAAUCUAUUUAAUCAAAGUUGUGUGUGACACAAGAGCCUUCAGAAGUGAAGGUCUAAAGAUCCAGGGGAAACUGUUUUUAUGUUUAGGUUGGAUAAAGAACGGAUAGCCAUGUAGAACUGUGAUUGGACAGGUUAUGAUCUAAUGGUAAUAGACUGAAGGGGAAACCCCGCAAGACCUGUCUGUUCAGGUUCUUCUUGGUCUCUCUGCAUAGCAUUCCUUUCCUGUCCAGUAGAGGUUAGGACACCUGUUACAUGAAGGUCCUCAAGAGAGAAGGGACAAAGUUACCUUUCUAGGUUUUAUGACUUGCUUUGCGGAAGAAGACUUUUAGUUUCUAUGACCCAACUUGGUGAAGAAGAAUUCUGGUUUCUAUGACUCACUUUGCAGAGGGUAGUGGGGAAGACAGGAGAAUGGGAGGAGAUCAAGAUGUUGAAGAGAUCUUGUUUCUGAGGCAUGCAUGAACUCCUGGGCUCAAGUGAUCCUCCUGCCUCAGCCUCCCAAGUAGCUGGCACUAUAGGUGUGCCACCAUGCCCAGCUAAUUAAAACAAUUUUUAAAAAUUUUUUUGUCUGUGUUGCUUAGCCUGGUCUCAAACUCCUGGCCUCAAGCAAUCCUACUGCCUCAGCCUCCCAAAAUGCUGGGAUAUAGGUGUGAGCUACCAUACCUGGCCCAUUUCACUGUUCUUGAUCUAUAAAUGUCUGUUCUUCAGGUUAUAAUGUAUGCCUGAUUCAAUCCUUCACUGAUCAAUGAAUAAAAUAUUUAACAUGUAUUUAUCUAUCUAUCUAUCUAUCUAUAUAUAUAUGAAUGACAGUGAUAAUUUUAAUUUUCACAGAGGGUAAGUAAGACCCUGCCUGUUUCCUUCCAAAUUUCUUCAUGGUCCAAGUAUCUUUAUGUAAUCACAGAAGACUGAGGGAAUAAUGACACCAUUUCAGGAUUUAAAAAAUAAUUGUGAAACAUUCCUUGAAGAGACCUUCCUCCACAUAAAGACAGCAGCAUCAGCUGCUCAACAGACACCCCUUGGUGAACAAGAUAGAGGCUCUCCAGGCAAGUCACAAGCAAGACUGCAACUGCAGUCAGGUUCUGUGGUCAGCCACAGAGGGACCUAAGGCAGCAGCAGUGGCUCAAGGAGAGCUGCAUCUACAGCUGAAGCUGAAGGAUUCUGAUGGACAUCAGACCUAGCUAUGGACAGAGGGGUAACCUGAAGAACUGAGGAAUGCAUGAGUCUGAGCCAAGGGGGCCUCAAGCCUACAGAUCUUUCUUGUCAUUAUUAAUGGCAUCCACAUUCUUUGAAUAUCCUCCUUAAGGCAGAUGUGGGGCUGAGGGGAAUUAAGAAUUAGGUUACUGUGUACUAUAUUCAAGAAGUUCUUAUUGUCAACUUAAAUAAAGACAGAGAAAAUUAUGUCUGAAUAUGUUGCGUUUACUCAGGAUUAUAAUCUGGAAUGCACAGAAUGGCAAGCCACCAGCCUGUUUGGUGAGAGAAGG
rnacentral:lncRNA from 1 species